rnacentral:rRNA from 1 species
UACGUAGGGGGCUAGCGUUGUCCGGAAUCAUUGGGCGUAAAGCGCGUGUAGGCGGUCCGGUAAGUCCGCUGUGAAAGUCGGGGGCUCAACCCUCGGAUGCCGGUGGAUACUGUCGGGCUUGAGUACGGAAGAGGCGAGUGGAAUUCCUGGUGUAGCGGUGAAAUGCGCAGAUAUCAGGAAGAACACCUAUGGCGAAGGCAGCUCUCUGGGACGGUACUGACGCUGAGACGCGAAAGCGUGGGGAGCGAACAGG